CCUUUAUCUUUGUUUCUUCGUCUUCGUCUUCUUCGUUGUUCGUUUU
rnacentral:sRNA from 1 species